GAGGAGUAUUGAACGAGAGAGGGAGAAC
rnacentral:piRNA from 1 species